rnacentral:snRNA from 1 species
UUGAUAAUUUAACUAAAGGGUU